GAAUCAACGCUGGCGGCGUGCCUAACACAUGCAAGUCGAACGCGAAAGUCCCGCAAGGGAUGAGUAGAGUGGCAAACGGGUGAGUAACACGUGGGUGACCUGCCUUCGAGCGGGGGAUAACGUCCCGAAAGGGACGCUAAUACCGCAUGACAUCCUGCCUUUGAAGAGGUGGAGAUCAAAGCUGGGGAUCGCAAGACCUAGCACUUGAAGAGGGGCCCGCGUCUGAUUAGCUAGUUGGUGGGGUAAC
rnacentral:rRNA from 1 species